GGAAGAGUAAGCGGAAAGGUCUGUUGUAACAUAUAAUAGUUAACAAGUUAGUUACCUGAAGUAACAAACUUGACAGCGGGUUUCAUCAAGAAGCCGCUUUUCUCUCUUGUUCUGAGUUUCCAAACACUGCCGCAGAACUUCUCUGCGACAUUUUUGCUAGUGAUUGUAGAAAAUUACUCGCUUUCAGUGGCGCUAAUAAAGCAUGCAUAGCGGCCUUCUUAGCAUACGAGGGUCUUUGUUGCUUUUCUUCUGCCUCAUUAGUUUGGCGACUCUAUUUAGGUCCAAACCAGAAGCAGUCCCUCCAGCUUGUUCUCCCUCUUGAGAAGGUUCACAUAGCCAGGAAAUGGGUAGUUGCCGAAGGAUCAACCCUAUCAUGUUUGUCAUUCUUCCAGGCAACACUAAUAAACAAAGCCAUAGUUUCUCAGUAAAAUCCCCUUGCCAGACAUUUUAUUAGGUGCAGGAGAUCACAUUGUCGAAUAGACCACCCCUGGGGAUGGGUUAAAACUGAAAAUUCUAUCCUACCAAAUUUACACCAAAGAUGGAGGCAGAGUGAAAACAACACAAUUGCUCUGAGCAGAAAAGUGCUUGUGGUCCUCUGUGGGCCUCCAAGAACACGUGUACACACUACAAACCCCUCAAUAUCCUAAUUGAAGCACGGUAAACUGAUCCUCACUCUAUUCUCCAUCUGUUUGGACUAAAUUGGCUCACAGCAAGUCAUAAUCUUGCAGAACUUGUACAUAGAAAUCAGGUCGUGGAAUCAAACACCAGCUUUUAAGGUCCUCUUCAUAUACAAUGAAACUGUUUGGUUCUGGAUUAUCAUUAGCCCAAACAGUGCUCUCGAGAAAACCCAAAGUGUAUUCCUCUUGUAUACUGUAUUUCUGCGUAAUCUCCACCAAAUAUGUAACAGUGAGAGAAGUAGCUAAUUCACCAAUCAUAUGGUUAGCACAGUUAAGCUCCCCGUUUUAGCUUUUAAUCAAAACAGAAAAUAAUUUUUAAAAGAAAAGGUCAAAUUGACCUACCUGAGGAUAAUAAACCCAAGCACAUUCUUUAAGUGGCAGAGGAUGUAAGCAAGUUUCCGAUUUUUCAAUCUCUAUGUGUAGUCAACCUUUGGACUGUAGCCUUCCCUCUUCAUUUCCUCAUUCAGCAAUUCAUAUAUUUCUAUUGAAUGAUGAUGUAAAUCAUCACCUGCAUGAAAUUCAUGAACUUGUGCUCCAAUUUCAAUCCAGCUACAACCAGGGGUCUUAAUGACGCCCUGUCGUCUCAUCAACACCCUCAUUUUCGCUGAGUCAUCCCACCUUCUCAAAUUUGCAUAUAUCUUAGAUGAGAUAAUAUAGUUUCCAGAAUUUGAUGGCUCGAUAUCUAAAAGCAGUUUAAUAACCCGUUCACCAACAUCUACGUUUCUACGCUUCUGACAGGCGCCAAGCAAUGCCCCAAGUACAAUUUCGUCUGGUUUUCUAGGCAUCCUCUCAAUGAAGUUCCAAGCUUCAUACAGAUGCCCUGCACGUGCCAAAAGAUCAACCAUACAAGAAUAAUGCUCAAUUUUCGGGACCAAUCCAAAUGAUGAGCUCAUUGAAUCAAACAAUCGAUGGCCCUCAUGAACCAAUCCAGCAUGGACACAAGCAGAAAGUACUCCUAUAAAUGUGAUGUCAUUUGGCCGGACAGUGCCAACCUUUAGCAUACGUCUGAAUAAAGAUAAUGCUUCCUGAGCUCUCCCAUGAAAAGCAAGAGCAGAAAUCAUGGCAUUCCAAGAGACCUCAUUUCUGUGAGGCAUACUUUCAAAAAUUCUCAGUGCACUGUCCAAGCUCCCACACUUUGCAAACAAAUCAAUUAAUGCACUGGCAACAUAGACAUCAUAUUGUAAGCCUCUCUGUGAUGCAUAUGUCUCGAUCCAUUUUCCCAAAUCAAGGGCUCCAAUCAAAGCACAUGCAGAGAGCACAACAAUCAUUGUGAUUUUAUCUGGAUUUGUACCCACCUCUCUCAUGCGAUUGAAAAGUGUAAUUGCUUCAUCUGAUGCUCCAUUCUGGGAAUAUCCUGUGAUCAUGGCAUUCCAAGUGACAACAUCUUUCUUUUCCAUGGCAUCAAAGACCCUCCUUGCUGAGAUCAAAUCCCCGCACUUCCCAUACAUGUCAAUCAAAGCAGACCCUAAAUAUGAGUUUAACUCUAUCUUCUUCGAAGCAACAAGCUCCUCCACCCACUUCCCCAAACCCAAAUCCCCUAAGUCCCCACAUGCCCCCAGAACACUCAC
rnacentral:misc_RNA from 1 species